GAUGAACGCUGGCGGCGUGCCUAAUACAUGCAAGUCGAGCGAACAGAUAAGGAGCUUGCUCCUCUGAAGUUAGCGGCGGACGGGUGAGUAACACGUGGGUAACCUACCUAUAAGACUGGGAUAACUUCGGGAAACCGGAGCUAAUACCGGAUAACAUAUAGAACCGCAUGGUUCUAUAGUGAAAGAUGGUUUUGCUAUCACUUAUAGAUGGACCCGCGCCGUAUUAGCUAGUUGGUAAGGUAACGGCUUACCAAGGCAACGAUACGUAGCCGACCUGAGAGGGUGAUCGGCCACACUGGAACUGAGACACGGUCCAGACUCCUACGGGAGGCAGCAGUAGGGAAUCUUCCGCAAUGGGCGAAAGCCUGACGGAGCAACGCCGCGUGAGUGAUGAAGGGUUUCGGCUCGUAAAACUCUGUUAUUAGGGAAGAACAAAUGUGUAAGUAACUGUGCACAUCUUGACGGUACCUAAUCAGAAAGCCACGGCUAACUACGUG
rnacentral:rRNA from 1 species